rnacentral:rRNA from 1 species
AGCGAACGCUGGCGGCAGGCCUAACACAUGCAAGUCGAACGAACCUUUCGGGGUUAGUGGCGGACGGGUGAGUAACACGUGGGAACGUGCCUUUAGGUUCGGAAUAACUCAGGGAAACUUGUCCUAAUACCGAAUGUGCCCUUCGGGGGAAAGAUUUAUCGCCUUUAGAGCGGCCCGCGUCUGAUUAGCUAGUUGGUUGAGGUAAUGGCUCACCAAGGCGACGAUCAGUAGCUGGUCUGAGAGGAUGAUCAGCCACAUUGGGACUGAGACACAGCCCAAACUCCUACGGGAGGCAGCAGUGGGGAAUCUUGCGCAAUGGGCGAAAGCCUGACGCAGCCAUGCCGCGUGAAUGAUGAAGGUCUUAGGAUUGUAAAAUUCUUUCACCGGGGACGAUAAUGACGGUACCCGGAGAAGAAGCCCCGGCUAACUUCGUG